UGACCCCGCCAGCAGGUCGCACACUCUGGUGGCUAGGAAUACCUCUUGAGUGCCCGCGGAUACCGAUAUGACCAGGGGCAUCAUCACCUUUUUGGUCUUCCGGUUCAUAUAAGCAAGUGUGCGCCUGAUGAUGUCUGUCCAAUUCAGGCGCCUGACCAGCUGACAUCGCGAACUCCCAGCCGGCUCCCUCGCACGGGGCCACGAGCCAUGUGUGCCUCUAUGGCCAUGAUUCUUGUUGCUUUUUGUUUUCUCCUCCACUGGUGAUUCCGCCGUAGUUCCUCUGUGACAGCCACUGGCUUGCCUGUCCUGAUGCCGCUGAAACGUUAGUGAUGAUCAGUGAGCUGCAGUGAUCGACGGCGGAGUUGUUGGUUAACGCCAACGGGAAAUAAUGUCAUUCAUUAUUUCCCCCCCAUUCAUAAGCUGCCGAAUGAAACGCUGGGCUUCAGCUUCGAGACGCGGGUUUUUGGAGUCCUUAGCGAAGUAUCAAGGAUAUUUUUCCAAAUACACGAACCUAUGGAACGGCCAGAUCGGCCCACAAAUAACGAAGAAAACAGGAAAAAUAUGACUGCAGAAAAUAUCCUGGAUCUUUGGCCCAUGAGUACUGGUUUUUUCUGAACGCCAUAUCUCUGCUUUGCUGCAGCCGAUCGGAGUGCGGCAUGUCUUUUCGAGAUCGGGAGGGUCCUGCCAAUCGACUGCCAUCGGAACACCGAUUCGCUUGUUUACCAGGGGCAUAACCUAUUUGGUCUUCCGGUUCAUAUGAGCGAGUGGGUGCUCGAUGACGGCUGUCCACUCCAGGAGUCUGACCGACUGACAUCGUGAACCCCCGCUGGCUCCUGCGUACGUGGCCACGAUGCCGUGCGCCCCUCGGGACAUGAUUCUUGUCACGCGAGGCUGUGGCUUUCUGUCUGACAUUUUGGUCCAGCCACUGCUACGGCCCUCUUCCUUGCAUGCCACGCUGUUUUCUUCGUCUUUCCAGUUCGCUCGCUGUCGGUAACUCCUCGUCCUCUGUGGCAGCCACUGGCUGGCCUGUCCUGAUGACGCUGCUAUAUAUAAUUGUGGAUAUAUUUGUAAUUCUAUCUUCCU